rnacentral:lncRNA from 12 species
CCCCGUGAACAGCUGGCACGCAAGAGAAGCUUAAAUGUGGCCUCAGAGAGGUCUGCCCCCCCACACCUCACCUCAGUUGGCUCUCCCCUUACUAGCCAUCACGUUCAAAGCAUCAGCACCCCGCCGUCCGCAUUAUCACCCUUCCCGCUGGCCGCUGAGGAGUCCUCGGGGUCACUUCUGGUGGCCUUUCCUUCCCUCCUGUCCCUGCUCGAGGUCUGGUCAGGGCCGCGCUUUGCAUCGGUGCAGGGGGAUCUUGUCGCGGGUCAGGAGACCUGCAGGAGGAGGGGUGCUGCGGGAAGGGAGGCCGGGGAGGAGGCCUGGGGUGGCCUGCGCCUGAGCUGGGCUGGCGAGGGCGGCCCGGCCCCUCGCUGCUCCCCCCCUAGGGCCCCAACACACCGUCCUCUGUGGCGUCCGCCUCCACCUGGCCUGCUCCCGGGGUCAGGGCCUGUCUGCCGCGGUGGUCGGAGUCCAGACCGCUCCUGGUACCGAGGAAGAGCUCACAGUGCGUUCGUUGAAGGGGAAAUCAGAGGCUGGCGGCUACUCACUACUACUGCUGGCAGUAGCCGCGGUUUUGAGAUGAACUGGAAUCCGCCCAAGCAGAUAACACCGGAUCCUCUUUGGGACGCGCACCGGGCGGGGGGAGAGUGGUCAGAAGCAGUCGGGGUCGCCUUGGCUCACAGCCUGGAUUUGGGCGAGGGUUUCCCGCCGCCUCCUGCCCGAGGCCCUUCGUGCCAGGCCGCUGCGACCCGCGGGGCUGCCCGGGCGCCCGGGCUGGGGGGGCAGCGCGCUGGGGGCGCCCGCCGGGCCCCGCACCCUCGCAGGCUGCAGACGGCUGGGCCCCGCGCCAAGCUGCGCGCCUCCAGGGGGAAAGCUGCCCUUGGCCGGGAAGAACCGGGAAGAGGCACAAAUGACUCACUGUCCCACAUCCUCCAAGGUAAAAGCCCAGCAGUGUGGGUGGCCUUCGGGGCUGGCCGGGACCGCCGCCCUGGCUGCCCCCACGGCCCAGAUCCAGGGCUCAGCCUGCAGCCGGCCCGGUGCACGCGCUUCCUCCGCGCUCGGGGUGUCGGAUACUGU